GCACGUAGUUAGCCGGUGCUUCUUCUGCAGGUACCGUCAAUUUCGUCCCUGCUGAAAGCGGUUUACAACCCGAAGGCCUUCAUCCCGUACGCGGCGUCGCUGCAUCAGGGUUUCCCCCAUUGUGCAAUAUUCCCCACUGCUGCCUCCCGUAGGAGUCUGGGCCGUGUCUCAGUCCCAGUGUGGCCGGUCGCCCUCUCAGGCCGGCUACCCGUCGUCGCCUUGGUAAGCCAUUACCUCACCAACAAGCUGAUAGGCCGCGAGUCCAUCCCCCACCGAAAAACUUUCCACCCCCCGCCAUGAGACGAGGAGUCAUAUCCGGUAUUAGACCCAGUUUCCCGGGCUUAUCCCAGAGUGAAGGGCAGGUUACUCACGUGUUACUCACCCGUUCGCCGCUCGAGUACCCCGAAGGGCCUUUCCGCUCGACUUGCAUGUGUUAAGCACGCCGCCAGCGUUCGUC
rnacentral:rRNA from 1 species